AUAAAUAGAGCAUCAACAGACAGGCCUACUGCUCCGCCUCUAGCAUGAGGCUUCUACUCAACAUGGCUGCCCGGACCAGGUUAAAGGGUCCUGGAGAUGAGGUCUGGCGACUGGCGCCAUCAGCUCUUCCUCUACGAUGCCCAGGAACUACAGUCAAUACAUGAGCUAUGUCCUUUUUUACUACUAAAGCAGCAACAUCAUGUAAUACUCAAAAUAACAUGAGCAGGAUACUCUCAACUAGUCCAAGGAAGAAAAGGCCCUAGUUAACCACUAGGUGGGGGGUGGAUUAACCAAUACUAGCCACACUUAUCCACAUCUACUUUGCUACCAAACACUGCGUGGAUCUCUGACACCAUAGGGUUUUCCCGCUCUAUCAGAGUGCUUCCAGUGCAAUCAUACAUGUUUAAUAAUCCUGAUACCUGCGGACUCCAUCAUGAACAACAUGCAUAGAUGUCAAGUCUGCUGUUCCAACUCAUUAGGCACACUGAUUAUGAUUGAGUUGCACCUUGUUUCAAACCAAUCAGUGCCUGAUCAGAAUGGGAUUAGAUGUGAAUCCUUAUAUAAAGCUUCAGCAGCAUUCCUCAUUUUACUGGAGUUGUAGUGGCAGGCUCACAGGCGUACUACAGUUGCUCGCCACCUCAACAAUGGCUUUAAUAAUGAGGGUACUUCAAUUGUCUCUACUCCUUGAUGUGGGCUGUCAAGUACAUGCUUACAGGAUCGGAUAUGCUGAGCCGGAGAUGCCUACGUAUGGGCUGCAGCAGCCUGCUAGCUACAAGCCACAGCAACCUCCUACUACAAGCCCCCAGCAGCAGCAACAUCCCAUUUACAAGCCCCAGCAGCAGCAGCAGCAGCAGCAUCCCAUUUACAAGCCCCCCAGCAGCAGCAACAUCCCAUUUACAAGCCCCAGCAGCUGCCAGCAGCAGCAACCCAGCUACAAGCCCAGCAGCAGCAACAUCCUAGCUACAAGCCCCAGCCCAAGCAGCAGCAGCAGCAGCAACAUCCUAGCUACAAGCCCCAGCCAGCAGCAGCAUCCUGGCUACAAGCCCCAGCAGCAGCAGCAGCAGCAACAUCCUAGCUACAAGCCGCAGCAGCCCCUGCAAGCAUCCUAGCUACAAGCCCCAGCAGCAUUCUAGCUACAAGCCCCAGCAGCCUCCUAGCUACAAGCCCCAGCCGCAGCCGCAGCAUCCAAGCUACAAGCAUCCUAGCUACAAGCCCCAGCAGCAACUCAGAAGUUGAGAAGUUUGCAUUCUGUAACUUUGCUUCAUUGAAAAUUCCAUCAAAUCCUUCAAUGGUAUAAAGUUCUCAAUUGUGUUCCUGCCAUGACAUGGUUCUACGGUCCAAAUUUGACAAAAGAAUAAAAAUAUCACUUUUAAAUAGUCAAAUUGGUCAUUGGCUAGGCUGAAUGCCAGCAGCAAAUUCAGAAACCUAUUUUGAUGCCUUUUCAGGAGCCGCUGCUUUGGUCUAAUGCAACGUUACAGUUCAGUAUGGAGUCUUUUUAUUAGAUCUUUAGUAUCUAGCUACCAGCCGCAUCAGCUUCCUGAACACCAGCAGAAGCCCCCAAACUACGAGCAGCAGCCUCCUUAUUUCAAGACGUCAUCUGAAUGUGUUUUGAAUUCACCUCUGGCAAUACAGAAAUUCAAACGUUCACUAAUUUAGAUACAUAAGGUUGCACUACUCUACAAGUGGUCAAACGACUGAAGAACCAGAAAAUUCAAUGGCCUGGCCCACUGCUCCACCUCUAGCAGAAGGCUUCUCCUCUCACCUGGCUGUCAGAUCCGUCAAUGCUACCACCACCUGAAAGGUGCCAGUGAAACCUGUAUCCAGUAAUGGUUGUAAAAGGCUGGUGAGACUCGCUCAGCCCCUUACUAUCUUGCAUCAGACGCCUACCCCACUUACAUCAGUGCCCUACCCCUGGGCAUAACCCAUAGCCAGGGAUGUGGCGUGCGGAUCGCGUCUGUUAUGAUAGCUCUCCUCUGGGAUCCGUGCACUUAGUGAAUUUGCUGAGAUUGUUCUAUUUCAUGUAGGC
ensembl:lncRNA